rnacentral:sRNA from 1 species
UCAGUAUUUGGGUCAAUAUUCGGACUUAUUCAGUUCCGACAUAACUACUAACAGAUGCUAACCCAUCACACUCACUCUUCUAUCACACACUCAGUGUUAAUCUGACUGCUUCCACACUGACUCUGCAACUGUCUGUUCAGAUAUUCAUCACAGAGAGUCUUGCAGAAGCUUCUGCAGUGUGUGGUAUCUCAGAGAAGAUUGAAAACCUCUAUAAUGAGUUUUUCAUGCUGUGAAUCAUCAUACCUUCAUAGAUGGAGCUCACUGAGCAUCUAUCUACAUUGUUGAUAGAGUCUCAGUGAGGAUGAAGUGAUACAUUUGUACCAACAGCAUCAGAUACCAGCAGCAUAAGUCUAUCAGAGUAUUUGAUUUCUCUGUUGCCAUUUGCAAGGCAAACGGGCGUCACACCUGCUUGUUGAUUAACAAACAGGCAGUAUCGGACGGAAUCCGGCUAUAUGAACUGGCUUUUUUUUGAGGGGGGAGGGGAGAAUGUUUGAUGCUUUGUGAAUUGAGUCCUUGGUUUUCAUUUUGUUCGCUUUGCGACUUUUCUCAUAUUUCAUAUCACGACUUCGGCUUUUGGUUUCGUCUGAAUGAUGCUUUUCUUGACGCCGCGGACCCAUUUUCCUUGGUUAGAUUUGGUUUUUGUUGUCGCUGCUCUUUUUAUUGAGCUCUCAGAUACCCACAUAUGCAAAUGGAAUC